rnacentral:misc_RNA from 1 species
AAAAUCGGUACAUCUAGUAGAAAGUUAUGCGGUAUAAUAACAACGUAGGUCGACGAAAAAAGCGUCAAGUAAAAACGCAUUAUUAGAUAUAACUCGAAAAGUAGUUGUUAGAUCUCAAAUAAAUUUAAAUGGGACCAAUUGGCACACACCACCUUUCGAUUAAAACAAAAUUUGUCGAAAUCGGUCUACCCGGUCAAAAGUUCUGAUGUAACAUACAUAAA